GGGUCCGGAGGUGAAAAGUCCAUGCGUACAAUCAGAGUCCCCAAUGUUGGAAUUGUCCCCCAUGACUGGAAGAACAAGUUCUUUGAUACGUCCUGAUCCUUCCAUAGGUACGCCAAACACAGCCUUGAACUAAGGUUCGGAGCCGGGAAUUCUGAAUAAGCAGGUGCUUCUGUUGGCAGGCUCACUGGAGGUCGGCUCUAUCACCCACUUCCUCACAAGAACGAUUCGUCGUUGUGGCCGAGCAGGGAGGUGACCGGCUGUCGAGUGAGGCCAGGCUUGGCUCGUUUCCGACAUUAGGAAAACCGGCUUGUCGGAAGAAGGGUAUGCCAAACACCGUCUUCAUUCAAUCAUAUUUGACCCAAGGUAUGGAGCCAAGAACUCUGGGUGCCUGACUUUGCCUCUCCUCGCCCUUCUCUCACCGCCCCUCGUACACAGCCUACACCUGAAGCAAGGAACCAGGAAUUCUGAGAAAGUCGGUGCUUCUGUUUGCGGGUGCGGCAGGGAUCGGCCCCGUCAUUGGCCUCCUCAUGAAAGCAGUCUGUCGCCGUGGCCGAGCAGUGAGGUGACCGGCUGUCGAGCGAGGCCAGGCCUUGCUCUUUUCCACUGUUUGGAAAACCGGCUUGUUGGAAGAAGGUGCCACCACUCUGAAGCUCUGCCCACUGGAUGACUGCAGGGUUCUCAGCUGGGUGACUGAGGGCUCAGCAAGUGGAAGCUUUCUCUGAGGGCAUUCAGUCAGGCCAAGAAGAAAAUCACCAAUCAGGUCUCAGGAAGAAAGGUCCCAUGGGAGUGAUGACAAGGAACGAUCCUUCUGGGCUCCAAAGGGAUAUUUAUUCCUGGGAUCCAGCACUGAUCGGGGGAAAAGAAGUUAAAUAACUUUUGAACUGACACGGAGCCAAGAAAAGAGUCCAUCAUUUUCUCCCUGUCCUGAUAUCCCACACCACCAAGGAAUUGCCAGGAUGAGGUGAUUGAGGCCCAGAGAAGUGAAGAG